GUUUAUUAUUCCUCUAUACUGUCAGGUGUUCGUUUAUUAUUCCUCUACACUGUUAGGUGUUCGUUUAUUAUUCCUCUACACUGUCAGGUGUUCGUUUAUUAUUCCUCUACACUGUUAGGUGUUCGUUUAUUAUUCCUCUACACUGUCAGGUGUUCGUUUAUUAUUCCUCUACACUGUCAGGUGUUCGUUUAUUAUUCCUCUACACUGUCUGGUGUUUGUUUAUUAUUCCUCUAUACUGUCAGGUGUUCGUUUAUUAUUCCUCUAUACUGUUAGGUGUUCGUUUAUUAUUCCUCUACACUGUCAGGUGUUCGUUUAUUAUUCCUCUAUACUGUCAGGUGUUCGUUUAUUAUUCCUCUACACUGUUAGGUGUUCGUUUAUUAUUCCUCUACACUGUCUGGUGUUCGUUUAUUAUUCCUCUAUACUGUCAGGUGUUCGUUUAUUAUUCCUCUACACUGUCAGGUGUUCGUUUAUUAUUCCUCUACACUGUCAGGUGUUCGUUUAUUAUUCCUCUAUACUGUCAGGUGUUCGUUUAUUAUUCCUCUACACUGUUAGGUGUUCGUUUAUUAUUCCUCUACACUGUCAGGUGUUCGUUUAUUAUUCCUCUACACUGUCAGGUGUUUGUUUAUUAUUCCUCUACACUGUCUGGUGUUCGUUUAUUAUUCCUCUACACUGUCAGGUGUUUGUUUAUUAUUCCUAUACACUGUCAGGUGUUCGUUUAUUAUUCCUCUACACUGUCUGGUGUUUGUUUAUUAUUCCUAUACACUGUCAGGUGUUCGUUUAUUAUUCCUCUACACUGUCAGGUGUUCGUUUAUUAUUCCUCUACACUGUUAGGUGUUCGUUUAUUAUUCCUCUACACUGUUAGGUGUUCGUUUAUUAUUCCUCUAGACUGUUAGGUGUUCGUUUAUUAUUCCUCUACACUGUCAGGUGUUCGUUUAUUAUUCCUCUACACUGUUAGGUGUUAGUUUAUUAUUCCUCUACACUGUCUGGUGUUAGUUUAUUAUUCCUCUACACUGUUAGGUGUUCGUUUAU